GGAAUUACUGGGCGUAAAGCGUGCGCAGGCGGUUCGGAAAGAAGGAUGUGAAAUCCCAGGGCUCAACCUUGGAACUGCAUUCUUAACUACCGGACUAGAGUAUGUCAGAGGGGGGUAGAAUUCCGCGUGUAGCGGUGAAAUGCGUAGAUAUGCGGAGGAAUACCGAUGGCGAAGGCAGCCCCCUGGGAUAAUACCGACGCUCAUGCACGAAAGCGUGGGUAGC
rnacentral:rRNA from 1 species